AUUGAACGCUGGCGGCAUGCCUUACACAUGCAAGUCGAACGGCAGCACGGGAGCAAUCCUGGUGGCGAGUGGCGAACGGGUGAGUAAAGCAUCGGAACGUACCUGGUAGUGGGGGAUAGCCCGGCGAAAGCCGGAUUAAUACCGCAUACGACCUGAGGGUGAAAGCGGGGGAUCGCAAGACCUCGCGCUAUUGGAGCGGCCGAUGUCAGAUUAGCUAGUUGGUGGGGUAAAGGCCUACCAAGGCGACGAUCUGUAGCUGGUCUGAGAGGACGACCAGCCAAACUGGGACUGAGACACGGCCCAGACUCCUACGGGAGGCAGCAGUGGGGAAUUUUGGACAAUGGGCGCAAGCCUGAUCCAGCCAUGCCGCGUGCGGGAAGAAGGCCUUCGGGUUGUAAACCGCUUUUGUCAGGGAAGAAAUCUUCUGGGUUAAUACCUCGGGAGGAUGACGGUACCUGAAGAAUAAGCACCGGCUAACUACGUGCCAGCAGCCGCAGUAAUAC
rnacentral:rRNA from 1 species